UACGGAGGGUGCGAGCGUUGUCCGGAAUCACUGGGCGUAAAGGGCGCGUAGGCGGUUCGGUAAGUUGCUGGUGAAAUCCCGGGGCUCAACUCCGGGGCGGCCGGCAAGACUGUCGGACUUGAGCACGGUAGGGGCAGAUGGAAUUCCCGGUGUAGCGGUGGAAUGCGUAGAGAUCGGGAAGAAUACCAGUGGCGAAGGCGUUCUGCUGGGCCGUUGCUGACGCUGAGGCGCGACAGCGUGGGGAGCAAAC
rnacentral:rRNA from 1 species